ACACAUGCAAGUCGAGCGGUAAGGCCUUUCGGGGUACACGAGCGGCGAACGGGUGAGUAACACGUGGGUGAUCUGCCCUGCACUCUGGGAUAAGCUUGGGAAACUGGGUCUAAUACCGGAUAUGACCNCANGNNGCAUGUGNUGUGGUGGAAAGAUUUAUCGGUGCAGGAUGGGCCCGCGGCCUAUCAGCUUGUUGGUGGGGUAAUGGCCUACCAAGGCGACGACGGGUAGCCGACCUGAGAGGGUGACCGGCCACACUGGGACUGAGACACGGCCCAGACUCCUACGGGAGGCAGCAGUGGGGAAUAUUGCACAAUGGGCGGAAGCCUGAUGCAGCGACGCCGCGUGAGGGAUGAAGGCCUUCGGGUUGUAAACCUCUUUCAGCAGGGACGAAGCGUGAGUGACGGUACCUGCAGAAGAAGCACCGGCUAACUACGUGCCAGCAGCCGCGGUAAUACGUAGGGUGCGAGCGUUGUCCGGAAUUACUGGGCGUAAAGAGUUCGUAGGCGGUUUGUCGCGUCGUUUGUGAAAACCCGGGGCUCAACUUCGGGCUUGCAGGCGAUACGGGCAGACUUGAGUGUUUCAGGGGAGACUGGAAUUCCUGGUGUAGCGGUGAAAUGCGCAGAUAUCAGGAGGAACACCGGUGGCGAAGGCGGGUCUCUGGGAAACAACUGACGCUGAGGAACGAAAGCGUGGGUAGCAAACAGGAUUAGAUACCCUGGUAGUCCACGCCGUAAACGGUGGGCGCUAGGUGUGGGU
rnacentral:rRNA from 1 species